GUCUGAAUAGCUCAGUUGGAAAGAGCAGUCGCCCGGUAAGCGAAAGGUCUCGAGUUCGAUUCCCGAUUCAGCCG